AUCAACGCUGGCGGCGUGCCUAAUGCAUGCAAGUCGCGCGCGGGCCUCUUCGGAGGUGCUGCGCGGCGGACGGGUGCGUAACACGUGGGCAACCUGCCCUGAGGUGGGGGAUAGCCGCGGGAAACCGCGGGUAAUUCCGCAUAGCUUCCGGUCCCGAGGGGGGAGCGGAAGAAAGGGAGCAAUUCCGCCUUGGGAGGGGCCUGCGGCCGAUUAGCUGGUUGGUGGGGUCACGGCUCACCAAGGCGAUGAUCGGUAGCUGGUCUGAGAGGACGGCCAGCCACACGGGGACUGAGACACGGCCCCGACUCCUACGGGAGGCAGCAGCAAGGAAUCUUCCGCAAUGGGGGCAACCCUGACGGAGCAACGCCGCGUGGGGGAUGACGCCCUUCGGGGUGUAAACCCCUUUUCUUCGGGAAGAAGUUCUGACGGUACCGGAGGAAGAAGGACCGGCUAACUACGUGCCAGCCGCCGCAGUA
rnacentral:rRNA from 1 species